GCCGGGGUGGCGGAACUGGUAGACGCGCACGACUCAAAAUCGUGUGGGGCAACCCGUGAGAGUUCGAGUCUCUCCCUCGGCACCA
rnacentral:tRNA from 1 species